UCUUCUUGUAACAUAGGGUGCACAUCCUUCUUAUAGGCUUGCCCUCCUGAUUCUUUCGUAUCACCAAAUGGUGGGGCACCUUCUUCGUUUUCUUCCGAUGGUUGCCGGACACACUAUUUUCUGAGAACACAUUGAACCAUUCGGAAACGAGAAUUUCCCGAAAUUUUCUUAUCGGUAUUUUUUUUUUUUUUUUUUUUUUUUUUUUUUUUUUUUUUUUUUUUUUUUUUUUUCAUUUGUUUUUUUAAAAAGAAUAAAAC
rnacentral:misc_RNA from 1 species